AUGAGAUUUCAAAAUUUCAUAUAGUACGUUCCUGAUUUGACGAAAAUCUCUUGGAACGAUGAGACGAAGGGGAUCGUUGACAGUAAUUGGAAUUAGUAGAUAACAGCGCGACUUGACAGUGCCGAACAUAAUCCGCAUACCGUGAUAAACUCAUGGCGCGUGCAUCCACGAGAGAGCUUCAGCUUAACUCGCCGUCGUAGGGAGCUAAUUACUCAUGCUCGAUAUACGAACGUGAGCUUAUUGACGCUCGGUCGAAAAUAUAUGUAUAUAUCAUUAUUAAUGUUCGCUGGAUUUUUGAAAAGAUUAUUUUCUAGCGAAAAAUUAUCUGUCACGUUCCUUUCAUGAUCAUCGAGUUACAUCGUAAUUAAUUUGUAACGAGACGUUAUUGAUCUGAUCUUUCAAAAAUUAAAUAUUGAUUCUCUUAAAGCGCAAGUAUAUGUAUAAACUUAUUGCUUUUGUAGAAAGGAGAUUUCCGAUGAGACGAGCUCAAAUUGGAUCAUAUAUAUUACAGUGCAAUUUCUAUUCGCAUAGUAUACGUGUAAUGAAGACAACAAUUUAUUGGAGACUACGGUAAAAUCGUCGCAGGACACUGUAAAGGCCCGAUGGCACGUAACAUAGUGUAACCAAUCUCGAGUACUUUCCGACCAUGGCAUCCCUUCGACCUUUCCUUCUGUUCUCUCUUUCCUUUCCCUUCCGAUCUUCCUUUCCUUUACCACCUCUCUCUUUCUCUCUCUCUCUCUCUCUCUCUCUCUCUCUCUCUCUCUCUCUCUCUCUCUCUCCCAGCAACGCGUAGUUAUAUCGUAAAAUGGUGAACCCUGGCGGUGAGCCAAUAUGGCUAAGCUCCAAAUAUAUCUUACACUCUAUCUAAUUAUACGCUGUUUUAUCCAGACUGCUUUGAAAACCUCGUAAUGCUCGGUAGUUACUAGUCUAUUCGGUUGCAAGUGCUCUUCUUCUUCGAUAAGUUGAAGAUACGCUAACGUGAUAGGCUAUGAAAAGAGAAAAUUAUGCGAAAAUUUUCCUUUUGCUCGACGCGUUUCUUCCUCAUUUGGUUAUCUUUACGGAUUUACUAAGGAGAAUUCAACAGAAAUAGUUCACACGGAAGCGUUUGAGAGAAAAUUUGAAAUAUACUAUGAUGGUGAUCACUACUUUAACAGAGGAAAGAUCGAAUGAGAAAAUUUGUUUCUUCCGCGACUACACCGAUUUACAAUUGACUUUCUUUAGUCAUUAGUCACUCUGUAAUAUCUUAUAAUUAGUUAAAUUAUUACGUUUCGCUUUAAACUACUGCCGGUAUAUUAUUCUACAAUUACGACGAUAUCUCUGAAAAUGGUGAAUUAUGAUAACGUAUUGUUUAGCCGAAACACGAUAUUAUAGUCAUAAAGUAUUGAUCGUAAAUAACUUAUUAACUAAAGAUUUACAAACACAUACAUACAGAACUAAUUAUCUUUACAAUGCUAUCAAAUAUUAUUAUUAAUUCUGCGAUAGAUCUACAUAGAAUUUUCUCUCUUUCGAUAGCCAAAUUUCAUGAAAUUUUAGUGACAAUAAAGUUGGAUAUGAAUUCUUCCGAGUUGACUGACAAGUAAACGUAAAACGAUCAGGAAUCUCUAAAAGUGUAAAACGAUGAAGUUUGUCCUGAAUCGAAUCGUUUCUUCUACACUUCUAAAUCCUUACUCUCUCUUCUACCAUUCCAUUAUUCUCCGUUUGAGCUAUGAAAAUGUCGUUAAGUCGAAGAGGAGCAAACCGUGGGACGCUCGACGAUGCUUCUUUAAUUUGUCUCGGCGCGGAUUGAUGGAAGCAAUUUCGUCGUUUGCGAGAAGGUACUCUUAAAACGUCCUCGAGAACCCGCGAAAAUUUACGGGCGUCAUUUCCUUAAUUGUUCCUCAGCACGACUUAUUUUUCACGCGAAGAAUCGGCGCUAGUGCACAAUUCCUUGCAUUCUUUUGCCUUCUCGCUCGUACAUAGCAAGCAAGGAAGAAAGGAAUUUCCAAGUUCUUUGGCCUUUUACCAUAUUCACGUGAUACGGCUGCCUAAGCUAAAAUUUCUCUACAUGAAGAAGGUCUCCCGUUCUCAUAAUUAUGAUUAAACGAGAGCAAAUGGGACAAUUUUUUAAUGAGAGAGGUCGAAUAUUAAACAGACAAUUUUGAGCGAUUUCAAAAAUGUUCUGCAAGUUUCUUAAAAAUUUUUUAAAUAUAUAAUCAUAAACUAAAAAAUUGUCACAUAAAAAUAAAUUCAUCGUAAAAUCAUCUUGAAAGCAUUUAAAGCUGAUUUUUCUUCUAGAUGGUAAAUUCAAGGAAUACGUUUACAAACGUUACGAAUGAUGAAAACGCGUGAUAAAUGUUCAUGUCGAACUACUUACACGUAUUUGCGUUUCGUCAAACGAUGUUUAAGUUAAAAGGAAUUUCAUAUCGUUAAUCUAAAGUAAAUUAGUAAAUCUUAAAGCAACGAACUAGAUGCAUUUAAGUUUGAGAGCAAGAAAGACUAUUGGCUUAAUAUAAACAACUGAGCGAGUGGCAUUUGUUAUGCAGAAUAAAAGAUAAUUCGUAUUCAAAUUGAAAGAAGAAAAUGAUAACGUGUGAGUCAAGAGAAGUAAUUUAAUCUAAGGACGAUAGGACAAUGUAUCUUUUAUUUUAAUCUCAUGCGAUCACUCGAGUUUAAAUCGGAGAUAUUGUUAAUACUUUUGAAGCUAACUAAUACGAUGUGAUACGUCAUAUGUUACGCUGCGACUAUAACAUUUGUCAACAUUAAUCAUACUUUUGUAUCCUUUAAUAAGUAAGUACGUGGCAUAUACCGUGAACGUGAAUAUUUAAUAAAAACCUAAAUUUACGCAUCAAAGCGCAAAGAGUGAAUCAAAUUACUAUCAAUCUUGCUAAUUUUCUUUGCUAUUGGGAUCUAUAUAUCGUUUUGAAAGAACGAAACAACGUUUCAGCAAUAAUACUAAUUUUCAAGAUCCAGAAAGAAAUAUGAAGAAAGGUAAAAAUUUCUUCAACGAGGCGAAAGUUAAGUCGCUAUUUCAUGUCGUUUCUAAGCUCAAGCAGGCCAGCAUCGAGUGCCUCCGAAAAUUGCCCAACCAAGCAAAUUUGAAGGCACCUCGAAGCGAGGAUGCUGUAUUCUUUCUCUUUUUCUAACUCCUCUCUCUUUCCCUCUCUCUCUCUCUUUCCCUCUCUCUCUCUCUCUCCCUCUCUCUCUCUCUCUCUCUCUCUUCUGAUGUUUCCUUUUUACAUCCUACCUCUCAAGAAAACUUGCAAUAUAGAAUCAAGUUCUCAAAAUAUAUUGGUCGCCAUAUUUAAAAAGUGAAAGAAGCAGAAGACGGAAAACCGUAGCGGUGGCUUUCAUUCAAAUAAGAUGCCGAGGUUGCGAGAGAAGAAGAACUAAAAAAGGAGGAAGGAAAAGAAAAGGAAGUGGAAGAACCACGCAAGAAUACAGCAGCAGUACGUCGGUGAGGAAACGAGAAAAGAAGAAAAAAGGUGUUGGUCCGUUCGAGUGUUUUUCUAUUCAGAGAAGGGUUCGUAUAAAGUUCUAUAUACGCGGCUUCUAUCCCGUUCUAUUCCAUGGAUGCUGAGAUCUUCAAGAGAAGUAGAGAUCGAGUAGAGGAAGGGACUUGGAAGGAGGGAACGGAGAAGCCUGUUCCCCAUUCCGGAGAACCGUUCAUUGAAACGAAUGGCCUUGUCUACCCCUUUCUUCUCAUCCUUCUGUAUCUCAUAUCUCCGUUCUUCCUUCUUUUUCUCUUUCACUCUUUCCGAACGCGAUCCCAAAUGCUCUCAUCCUCUUCGCAAAGGUUAUCUAUGUCUUCAUCUUUCUCUUUCCUAUACCUCCUUCUCCUUCUUCUUUCUCUUCUUCCUCUUCUACUUCUUGUUUCUCAUCGUUUUCUUCUUCUCUUCUACUCAUUCUUGUCAUCCAGGAAUCCAUCAAGAUUACUUAUUCUCCGCCAAAGGACGCUCAAAGCACAACCUAAAGCAUUAUUUAAAUAAACACGGAGUUACUGCUGCGUGAAAAAGCAAACGAGAAAGGAGUGGUUGGGAAAAAAAGCGGAGACGUGCGCAAUCCAGGGUUAUAUUAAUGGCUCCUUAUUUGAGCGAAGAAACAAGAGGAGUACCCACCUUUCUAUGAUCUUAGAAAGAUGAGAUUUUCCACUCGUUAAGACAAGCCGCGUCUUCGAUAAUAGAUUAUUAUUUUAGUAUUGUAUUUAAACUUGAGAGUGAAUACAAGAUAGAACGAAAAAGAUGAGUAGAAAAAUUGAAGAUAAAUAUGCGUGUAUGAUAAUAUUGUGAACUAUGACAUUUACUUAUACUUUUUGUGAUUGUCAUUAUCUUCCGUAACGAUUAAUCUUUCAUCACGCUAGACCAGUUGUUAAAGUAAAUUUUCAUUUCAACAGUGCAAUAUGAGGACCAUGAUUAUUCGACGACGUAUGUGUCCGUUUACAGUAAUAAAUAAAUAAACUUCAGCCUGUUGGCAGGAGAAACGUAGUACGUAGACCUCUUUCCUGGACGAACUUUGUAGCUUGAGAAAGAUAAAGAUGUACAGAGAUGCAAAGAGAGAGAGAGAGAGAGAGAGAGAGAGAGAGAGAGAGAGAGAAGGAGAAAGAAAGAGAUGAACAAACAGGAGCAGGAGAUGAAAGAGGGGAGCGUAUAACUCUAUGUUUCAUGUUGUUUUCGUUCGCGUGCCGGUCUAUUUUAACCAUCACGCAGCAUUCCAAAAAGACAGUGCUGUGGAUACGCGCUUAUGUUUAUGAAUAGCCAUUAACCGUUACCGUAAGUACAAAUUUGUCUUGAAAUUUGAACUAGCCCGAUCUGAGAAGAAAAAAAAAACUGGAAAAUAUUAUCAUUUAUCUUUCAAGCAAGUAUUGAGAUAUAAGGUUGUAUGCACAAAUCGUUCAAUUUUGCAAACAUUUUAUAUUCGAAUAAUAAUGAGAGGUUAAUAUCGAAACAUGCAAACGAUUCUACAAAAUAAAAAAAUAAAAAAUAAAGGGAAAAGUUAAAAGCACGUUAAAAAUAAUAAUUUCGCGAUAAUGAAAGUUGCUUUCUUGCAAUGCGUUACGGAUUACGCAUUACAAUUGCAUGUCGGCAAGUAAAACUUCAAGAAGAUUGAUCGAUGAAAAAAUUUAAUCCAUUUUUCUCAGAAUAUUUAAUCAAUCAAAUUCUGCUUUUGGACUUUCCUUGAACUUAUUGGCAUGGGAUAAAUUGUUUAAUGGAAAUGAGUUUACGAACAAUAAUAUUGAAAUAAAUUAUCUUAAACCUAGUUAAAAAAUAUUUUUAAAAUAAUUAACAAAGACGUAGAUAUAAUGUUAGUCGACGAAAAAUAAGGAUAAAAAAGUGAUCGGAAAAAAGAAGAUGGCCUAUUUAUAUAUCUUCUAUUUAUAUUCUAGAAAAUAGCAAAAAAGGACACUGACAUAGUCGUAGAUUCUGCUGGAGGGCCGAUUCGAGUAGAAAGAAGAAGAAGGUGGAGAGAAGAAGAAGAAGAAGAAGAAGGGAGGUAGAAGAGAAAGAAGAGGAACGAAGAGGAGUUGAUUUGGUAGGCACAUAUAGAUUGCUACAUAGGAACGUAGGAGGGAUGACAGAACCUGAAGCCUACCUGGCCACGAGCCAAACCCGUUCUUCUACGAGUUGCGAUAGUGCAUACUCGAUGCAUAGUGGGUAUCUAGCCACCACUCUAUCCCCACCACUCGGUCGCAUGGGUGCCCGCAUUGCAGCUAUGGCCCACCAUUCUAAUGAUGGCAACCACGCAGUCGUGAGGAUUUUCAUUGGCAAAAUGUUCGAAAAUAUCGGACGAAGUUAUAUGAGCAUUUUAAAGCGAUUCACUGGAAUGGCUUUUAUUUCUAACCGAGCAAAAGCCGAUUACGCAAGGCGAUAUUGGUAUCGAGAAAGGGGGAAAUGAAGAGAACGAAGGGGAAAGCGAAGAUGAGCGAACUCGUGCAUAGACGCAUUAGUUAACCUUCGUUAACUUCGAAUUGUCCUCCCUGUUGAAUUUAAUGUAUCGGUGACGUCAAAGCAACAUAUAUUAAUACGACGUAAAGUGCAAAACAAGAGGAGAUGUCCCGUACCUCGACGAAUAAUUCAUCCGUAGGAAGCUGUAUGUAUAUACGAAGAAACGAUGUUAUUCAUGAAAAUCUAAGAUGGCAGCUCGUAAAGUCUCCAAUCAACCUUUCAUUCGCAUCAUUCUUGCAAGGGUCGGAAAAAUCAGAUAUCGAUGAUCUCAAAGAAAGACAAUGUGCUAAGUAGAAUUGUUACUUGUAUCACGAAUGAAGGGUGUUUCAGCAAAGUUGAUUACCACACGAAUGUAUGCACGUAAAGCGAACGUAGUCAUCAGUGGAAGAACGCAGACACGCGAGAUAAAGAAAAGAAUAUGGCGGCAUUUUGUGAAAGGAUUUUACAUGCAUUUAUCAUCGAACAAAAUUUUUUUAGUCAAAUGAUAAUUAAUAUUAAUGGAAUAGAUUAAUGUGAAGUCAGCAAGACAAGACCAGUAGAAAUUAAUUUGUAAUUUUUCCUACAGCCGAUCGUGUUGAGAUAGAACGAAGGGUAUAUACGAAGAUGUGGAAAAGAUUAAUCCAUAAAAGAAUUUUAUGUUAAGCUUUAAAGUCCUCAUUGAAGCAACAAUAAGAAACUUUCUGUCACCAUUUGUUCACUGCAUGUUUCAAAACAUUUUCAACAAACGCAUAUAGCAAUUUAUAGAAAUAUUUUGCCAACAUUGAAGCAACAUUAUCUCAGGAACAUUUUUAUUUUGUUUCGGUUUUAAGACUACACUUAUGUAUACAUUGUAGGAGCAUUUGUUUCUGCUACCACGUAUUCUCUAUUUUUGUCUUUUUUAUCUUUACCGGUUCGAACGGAAACAGUCAAUAAGCGGUAGUAUUUGUUCCUGACGACAGAAAUCUGCAGAAAGAUCCGGUAACAAACGGCGAUUUUUUCAAGAUACAUGGAAUAUCAAUAUGAAAUAUUAUUGUUUUUGCUUCAGUGAGGACAAGACUUAAUAUAAUGUAUGUACUCCUAUAUGACUUACAACUGCAUUCUAUUCGUUCUAGUUUUCUUGUAAUUUCCAACUGUACUGCUUAACAUAAAGCCAUCCAUCGAAUUAUAUCUUUUUACAAAUUUUUGUAAAUAACAUUUGCUUUAUAAAUUAAAUGUUUCUUCUCAUUAAUGAUUCUUCUCUAUCGUUAAUUUAUCUUCAAAUCAAUGCAACAGAAAAGACACCAAACAGAAAAAGUCAAGUUGUGAUAACUUCUACUUAUCUAUUGACCGAUAUAAUAUAAGUAUAUAUAUAGGGUGAAUCUAAAUUCAGCUGACAAACUGUGUUGGCUAAUAGGAGAAUUUUAUCAUUUGAAGUAUUUUGAGAUGGUAAACUAUGCUGGAAAUCCUUUGUUUUUUACCAAUAGGGUGAAACAAUUUGAUAAUAAAAUUAUUUUCUAUAGAAAGUAUAUGCUCGCACUGUACCUUAAUUUACUUAAACACUAAGGUAGUCUAAUUACAGUUUCCUAUCCAGAUAGUGGCUUAGAAUACUGUAGUAUUAAUUUAAUUUUUUAUAUUAAAUAAUUGAUUUAUUAAAAAUAGUUAUAAUUGUGUUAUAAGUACAGUUAAAAAGUAAGAUGAUAAAGCAUAAAUAGUUUUUAAAUAAAAAUAAUUAUCACCCUGUGUCUUGUGAACAACUGAUUUCUGACCAUUGAUUUCCUAUCUCAAAUUAUUUAGUUGGCUGUCCUUUAUAAUUACUGGAGGUUUGAAUUUAGAUUCAUCCUGUAUAUGUAUUCCUAUAUGAUCACGAGCAAAAGUAGAAUAUAGGUCUCGGUAGUGUUGCUAUUUUGAAUCGACGACGCCUACGUUCUCUCUCUCUCUCUCUCUCUCUCUCUCUCUCUCUCUCUCACUCACUCUUCCUCUUUGGUUGGCCUAACAUCAAAAUCGUAAAGAGCAACCAAUUCGAUCUGUUGUCAUUCAAAGAAUGCUGUGCCAAAUCGAUUCAGUGGUGGUCAUAAACUCGGCCACUUUGAACCCUCAAAGACAGUCCCAUUCUUUUAGCAAAAGAACGAGAAACGAAAUUGUGUGAUUUUGUUCGCUCUUUCUCUUUCUUUUACUUUCUUUGCUUUCAACUUUAGUACAUUUUGAUCGUUCAUAAAAGUCUCGAUUCACAACAUCAGAAAUAACAAAAUAACGAUGGACGAAGAAAAGGAAGUUCGCUUGUGCGAAAGACGAUAUCUUAAAGUUUGAAAAGAGCGAGAGGAAGAUGCAUGCUACGAUAAGAAUUAUUCCCAUCGCAUCGUUAUUAUUUACGAACAUAGAAAGACACCAACUGGCUACUCGGGAGCGUCUUCUUUUUUAGAAGGCUCGUAAAAUGCAGCACUUUGCGAUAUCAAAAUGCCGUGCGCACCUAGCGCAAAAGAGACUUGGCCAUAUUUUAUACCCUUGCCUUCUUCUUAAGAACGUGGACGUACGUAGACGAGAGACACUCGACUCGAUUUCUUUCUCUCUCACUCUCCUCUCUCGCGAGCGAGCGAGCACUUGCAGGAAACGUUUAAACGUUGAAAAAGAACUCCCCUUGUCGUUCCUAGUCGUUUUUUUUCUCCCAAUGCACUGCGACGAUACAGUGCGGCGGUUGAAAGAAAGAACGUAGUCCAAGAAGACGGAAAAAAGAUUAGAAAGAAAAUAGUCAGGUUUACGUUUGCGUAGAAGCGACCUUAAUUUCCAGCGUAUAUUUAAACUCUUUAAGCCGCUCGUUUUCCUUUAUGGCAUUACCUCCUACUAUUAGUAUUUUCUCUCUCUUCUGGUCCUCUCGGCCAGAUCUUCUCCUCUUUUACCCCUUCUCGUCUUCUCACUCCAACCCUCUUGGCUCGUCUCUCCUUCCAUUUGCUCUGUUUGCCUAUACUUCGCCCCAUAGUGAACAAAAGACAAACUCCUCUAUACCGGGGGUGGAAACUUCCGUCCUGUCGACGGAAAUGAAACGUCGAGGCCCAGCGACCUCCAGCUUAAACGCAACUGUUCUCUUCUUCCUUGUAGUACCUGACGUCCCAGAACCAAAAGCUUCUACUUCCUUCAUUUCGAUUUUCCCCGAUACUACAAUGUUCCAUAUACAUAUACUUAUGUCAUAGCGAAUCGUUGAAUAAUGCUUAGCGACAAACAAGAAAAGAAUUAGAACGUUUACGAAUGAAUAUUUCCACUUAAAAAUGUAUAAUGACUUGCUUGAUGCCUUUCUUUUGAUGCACGAUAUAUAUAUAUAUAUAUAUGCUAAGAAGCUUAGAAAAUGAUCUCUUCAAGAUCACAAGAAGUAAAAAAUGAUAUCUCUACGAUGACAAGGAAUA